UUGAAGUUAUCAUAUCCUGUGCGAGAUAAAUAAUUAAAUACUGGGCCAUUUUCGCUUAGCAUGUCUAUAUUAAAAUGUUGUUGUUCGGUAUGCUAAGCAUUUUAACAUUUUAAAAAGAGAAGUAUUAUUUCAGAGUUAGACUCGCGCUUGGCCGCCUUUUAAAAAGGCUAAAAACAAAAAAAUAAGGUUGUCUAUGGCAAACCCGUUAAUGAAUAGAAUUGGCCGUUUUUCAGUACAAAAAUUCUGUUUAAAAAUUAGUGUUUUUAAAAUUCGUCAAGGAAAAUGUCUAUCUCUUUCUAGUUAGUAUAAUAAGGUGAGUUGGGGUGAGCACUGAUUUAUUUAGGCUGGAAACACAAUAAAAAAAAUCCACCUUCCAAAAAUAUAAUAUUAUGUUCGACUAAUGAUUUAUUCGCAUUUGUUGCAACGUCUGUGGAAGCCUUUAGUCGAUUGUUAAAUCGGCGCAGAGGGCCUACCGCUAGCACCGAAAUUCGCAAAUUGCAACUUUCUUUCUCAGUCACUCUAAUUACGCAUUAAUUGAGUAAAAGAGCGAGACGCGCAAAUUGUGAACAUCGGUUUUCGCGGUUAUAGAGUCAGACCAAGAAAAGUCUGCAGCGGAUUUGAUAGCCCACGCAGUGCAAGUAAAUUUUAAACGUCUAACUUCUGUGAAAUUAUGACGUAUAAAUAUCACUGGCACUGCGAGGGCUAUCAAAAUCGCUGCAGACUUUUCGUGGUUUAAUUCUAGUCCAGAUAUAGACGAAUUGUAGUAGAAACGAAUGGUCUUAAAAAAUAUGGUCUCAACGCCAGCCCAAAUAAGUCGGUCCUGUAGUUAGAACUUUUGGUACGACGGUGUUUUUUGGAUGUUAAAAAUGUUGCAAUUAAAAGUGUUUUGUUGUCUAUGCUAAGAUGUUGCUAGUAAGAAAAAUAAUUAGUUUCAAUUAAGUUUCCCAUACUUUAUGUAUGUUCUUUUUUAAAUUAUUGGUGCUAAGUAAUUAUUAAUUUUAUUGAGAAAAUAUUGUAUGAUUAUUUCGCUCUGCUUGUCUAUACAGUGGGACAAGACUAAAAGGGACAUAAAAUAAAAAAUAACUAGGUAUACAUUUUUAAAAUGUUAAAUUACAAAUGUUGCUUCCUUGCUAUACUGGAAAAGUUCAUUGUCAAAAGUACGAAAAUUUAAAGAACCAUUCUUUCAGGGUCGCUUACAGACACAGAACAUGGUAUUUCGAGGCCAUUGAGAUUAUGAAAUAUCCAAACUAAAUAAUUAUUGUUGACAACAUGUUUAAAAUGGUCCCUUUAAGUCAUGUCGCACUGUAUAUUUGAUAUUAGCUAGUCAAAAGUUUUAUUGUGAAAAUGGAAAGGUAAUAUAGUUAAAUGUAGAUAAUUAAGGAUCUGCUCUGAAUUCAUUAAUGAACAUUUGGCGUCUGCUGGAACUUGAUACAAGUUUUAUGAAAUAACUUUGCAUGUAAUGGUCGCUUUUAUAAUUUACCGUGGAAGUCCACGACCACAGCACGUUUAAUACUGCUGUAAAUGUAACGUGUUUCAAAUAGUUUGGCUGUAGUCAGGCACCUCUACCAGAUACUAAAGGUUCUGUCACACAGGCGCGUUUUCCCGGCGGGGCGUGAGCGUUUUAUAUGUAAAAGCGGCGCGCCCCGCUCACGCGCCGCCCGCAAAACACGUCUGUGUGACGGAGCCUUAAAUAUUAUUAAAAUGACGAAACAUUUCAUCAAAAAAAUUGCCCUAACAAGGGAACGCUCAACAGAACGCUCAAUAGGGGGACGAACGCUCUGAUUAUGCCUCAUGUAUGAAAUAGUAUAUAGUUGAAGCGACCAUUUUAUAGUUUUAUUGAAAACUGAGUUUUUAUUUAGAAUUUUAAGGUAUUAUGUUGUUUUAAUGAAUAGGAGGAAAAGUUAGGUUACAUGAAAGACAUGUUGUUUUUUAAAACUUGUAUCAUUGACAUAUUUUCUUUGGUCUACUCUUGAUCAGUAAGGCCCACUUUCACCAUCCCACUAACCCGGGGUUAUGUGGUUAAACCGUUAACUCGGUGUCAAAUUGUACUAUUGUAUUGUACAUGGUAACUCCAGGUUUAACCGGUUAAGCCCAGGUUAGUGGAUUGGUGCAAGUGGGCCUAAGUGACAAUGGAAGGCGGCUUGUACCAUCGCUCACACUGUUAACUGUACUGUGGACCUUAUGCCUUUUGUAAUAAGGUUAGGAGUGUUGUUGUUUGUACAAAUAUUCAAUGAUUUCACUACAACUGCAUUCAAAUAAUUCAAAGUUAUCUAAAGUUGUAUGUACAGGACAUUGUACCAAAAGUACAUAGCGAUGUACCUACUUUGUGUACUAGAUUGUCAUUCCCAUUUGUCCCCGCCGGGUGCAGAUGCGUUCUUAUAAAUUAUUCCCAUCUGGCCCCGACAUGCACAGAUGCGUUCAUAUAAAUUAUUCCCUUCUGGCCCCGCCGGGCAGAUGCGUUCAUGUAAAUUCCCAUCUGGCCCCGCCAGGCACAGACGCGUUCAUGUAAAUUAUUCCCAUCUGGCCCCGCCUCAUAUAUGGCGGCGGUCACGUGGGGCGGGGACAAAUGGGUUGUCAAAUGUUAGCGCUUGAAAAUCUAGUUACGCACAGCGCCAUCUACUUCGGUUACCAAAAUUGAUGAUACAAUAUUUUGCCGUACAUUUCAGUUUUUCUUUGUAUAUUAUUAGAGUUAGACCAAGAAAAGUCUGCGGCGAUUUCGAUAACCCACGCAGUGAAAGUGUUAUUUUAUACGUCAUAAUUUCAUAGAAGUUUGACGUUUACAAUAACACUUGCACUGCGUGGGCUAUCAGAAUCGCUGCAGACUUUUCUUGGUCUAACUCUAUAGUUAUUACGGGCAGUAAUGUCUACAAGCUAUAAUUAUAUUUUGAGUUAUGUAAUCUAUGGUACAGGUUGCCUUUCCCUGGUUUUUAAUAGUCUAUGGUAUUAUUUGCUUUUUAAAAUGAUCUCUGUCCGUGUCAUCAGAUCUUUGGGUGCAAUCAUGGUGUUGCCAUAUUACUGUAAAACGCUAUUUUUAAUUUGCUUAAGGAAAAGAAUCUAUUUUUAUUUGUCAUAUGAUUAUAUGCUACUAUUAAGUAUAUUAUAUUAGUAAAUGUUCCUUUGAUGUUUGA